rnacentral:rRNA from 1 species
CUACCCGCUGAAUUUAAGCAUAUUAAUAAGCGGAGAAAGAAACAACAGUGAUUCCCUUAGUAACGGCGAGUGAAGCGGGAAGAGCCCAGCACCGAAUCUCCCGGCCGUAUGGCCGCGGCGACCUGUGGUGUUUGGGAGUGUCGUUGAUGCGCUGGCGCGAGCUCAAGUCCCCUUGAAUGGGGCGCAAAACAAAGCCAUAGAUGGGUGCAAGGCCCGUAGAGCUCGUUGCUGGCGCGUCUCUGGCGCUCUCUGGAGUCGGAUUGCUUGAGAAUGCAGUCCAAAGUGGGAGGUAAACUCCUCCUAAGGCUAAAUAUAUGCACAAGACCGAUAGCAAACAAGUACCGUGAGGGAAAGUUGAAAAGCACUUUGAAGAGAGAGUUGGAAAGUACGUGAAACCGUUUACAGGUAAACGGACGGAUCUCAUUAGUCGGUGGCAGCGAUUCAGUCGUCUGAUCUAGGCGGGCUACGGUGUUCUCGGCGUCCGGUCUGCUGCGGGAGUGCAAACUCUCGCGGCGGACUGGCGCCUCCACUGGUGGGCCUGCUGAUCGGCGAUGCACUUCGCUUGUCGUAUACCGAGCGCUACGACCGCCUGCGCGGCAGCCAGAAGGUUCCUCGAGCAAGGUAGCUUGGAGGCGCUGGAGGGAGCUUGCUCCUUUCGGUGCGCCAAGAACUUAUAGGCUCUAGGGGAACSCNCCGGCCUGCUGUAAGGGUGUGGACUUUCAAUGAGUCACGGUAUCCCGCCGAGGCGGCGGUGGCGCGUGGAUUGCCGAGGACUGCUUGCAGUGCUCGAUUACUCUGCCGUUUCGGGUCAGUUGCUCGGGGGGCGCGCGUCGUUGGGUCAGUGGCUUACAAUGGGCUCUCUGUCCGACCCUUCUUGAAACACGGACCAAGGAGUCUAGCUCAUGCGCAAGUCAAAGGGUAGCAGGGGACCCUUCCCGCAGCUCACAUUGCAACGAAACCCCAAGGCGAAACGAAAGUGAAGAAAUUCAAUUUUUAGGGGAGAUCGUGGCCUGAACAACCACGCGCAUCCCCGACCCGUCCCGAUAGGCCUAAUGUGU